GCACUGGUGGUGUAUGGUACACACAGUCAUCUUGUAAAACCUCCAUACCAGGAGUGAUUGAGUACGAGGUUCGAUUCCCCGCUGGUGCA